CGCGUAGGCGGAUCGGAAAGUUGGGGGUGAAAUCCCGGGGCUCAACCCCGGAACUGCCUCCAAAACUAUCGGUCUAGAGUUCGAGAGAGGUGAGUGGAAUUCCGAGUGUAGAGGUGAAAUUCGUAGAUAUUCGGAGGAACACCAGUGGCGAAGGCGGCUCACUGGCUCGAUACUGACGCUGAGGUGCGAAAGUGUGGGGAGCAAACA
rnacentral:rRNA from 1 species